UGGGGAAUUUUGGACAAUGGGCGAAAGCCUGAUCCAGCAAUGCCGCGUGAGUGAAGAAGGCCUUCGGGUUGUAAAGCUCUUUUGUCAGGGAAGAAACGGUGAAGGCUAAUAUCCUUUGCUAAUGACGGUACCUGAAGAAUAAGCACCGGCUAACUACGUGCCAGCAGCCGCGGUAAUACGUAGGGUGCAAGCGUUAAUCGGAAUUACUGGGCGUAAAGCGUGCGCAGGCGGUUUUGUAAGUCUGUCGUGAAAUCCCCGGGCUCAACCUGGGAAUUGCGAUGGAGACUGCAAGGCUAGAAUCUGGCAGAGGGGGGUAGAAUUCCACGUGUAGCAGUGAAAUGCGUAGAGAUGUGGAGGAACACCGAUGGCGAAGGCAGCCCCCUGGGUCAAGAUUGACGCUCAUGCACGAAAGCGUGGGGAGCAAACA
rnacentral:rRNA from 1 species